rnacentral:rRNA from 1 species
GACGAACGCUGGCGGCGUGCUUAACACAUGCAAGUCGAACGGAAAGGCCCUGCUUUUGUGGGGUGCUCGAGUGGCGAACGGGUGAGUAACACGUGAGUAACCUGCCCUUGACUUUGGGAUAACUUCAGGAAACUGGGGCUAAUACCGGAUAGGAGCUCCUGCUGCAUGGUGGGGGUUGGAAAGUUUCGGCGGUUGGGGAUGGACGCGCGGCUUAUCAGCUUGUUGGUGGGGUAGUGGCUUACCAAGGCUUUGACGGGUAGCCGGCCUGAGAGGGUGACCGGCAACAUUGGGACUGAGAUACGGCCCAGACUCCUACGGGAGGCAGCAGUGGGGAAUAUUGCACAAUGGGCGGAAGCCUGAUGCAGCAACGCCGCGUGCGGGAUGACGGCCUUCGGGUUGUAAACCGCUUUCGCCUGUGACGAAGCGUGAGUGACGGUAAUGGGUAAAGAAGCACCGGCUAACUACGUG